UACACAUCUCAAUGAAACUCAAGAAAACACCAAUUAAAUAGCAUCAUCAAAAAUGACUAUAUUUUAAAUAUAAACGUAACACAUUUAUUUUUAUUACUAAAAUUAUUUUCACAGUAAAGUUUACCUAACAAAGUAUAUUUGAAACAAUGUCUUGCUGAUGGCCGGACCAACAGUUUUGAUUGGUAUACCAUAAGAUAUAUUUGACAAUAAGAGUGGAUUACCUGAUUUUCUAAAUGCAUUUAUAAGUAAUUUAGGACUAGGAUAUUGCUCGACAAUUGCAAAUGCUUUAUGAACAGACAAACCUCGGAUCUGAAGUAAUUGCCGAAUCAGCAUAUCUCGUACAGUCAUGUUCUAUAAAAUUAAAUAAUAUCAUACUAUUCAUACUAUAGAAAAUUAAAAUUAUUUUGUAUUAUAUUAACAUACUUUGUUUUUUGCAGAACCCGAAGAAAAGGUUUUGAAAGAUAUAAGUUUUACAAUGUUUGAGGAGUUUCCAUAACCAGAAUCUACUUCAUCAAUAUGAGUUAAACACUGAGUCUCGCUGAGGAAAACUCAAUGUCCGAUGGUAUAUCUAUACGGAAAUUGCGAUUAUAUAUAAUUAGAACUACACCUACAAAUUACAAUAGAUUCUUACUAACUACGAACCACAAGGUAUUAAUUAUAAUUUAUAAUAAUAUUAACAAAACUAAUAUGUAUUAAAAUAAUAUUUUUUAUAUCACAUUACGGUUACAACUAAUAUUAAACUUUUUAAAUUAUAAGAAUUAUUUAUUUUUGAGUUGGUACAAUAAUAAUAUUAUAAUAAGUUAUAUUAUACUCAAUCAGAGGAGAGCUGAAUUUAAGAGAACAUCACAAUCGUAUUUAUUGUCAGCUCAACUUUUCUUGUU